GAACUGAAGAGUUUGAUCAUGGCUCAGAUUGAACGCUGGCGGCAGGCCUAACACAUGCAAGUCGAGCGGAUGAAGGGAGCUUGCUCCUGGAUUCAGCGGCGGACGGGUGAGUAAUGCCUAGGAAUCUGCCUGGUAGUGGGGGAUAACGUCCGGAAACGGGCGCUAAUACCGCAUACGUCCUGAGGGAGAAAGUGGGGGAUCUUCGGACCUCACGCUAUCAGAUGAGCCUAGGU
rnacentral:rRNA from 1 species